UAUUCCCCACUGCUGCCUCCCGUAGGAGUCUGGGCCGUGUCUCAGUCCCAAUGUGGCCGUUCAACCUCUCAGUCCGGCUACCGAUCGUCGCCUUGGUGGGCCGUUACCCCGCCAACAAGCUAAUCGGACGCGAGUCCAUCUCUAAGCGAUAAAUCUUUGAUAUCAAAGUCAUGCGGCUUCAAUAUGUUAUGCGGUAUUAGCGAUCUUUUCAGAACGUUAUUCCCCUCUUAGAGGCAGGUUACUCACGCGUUACUCACCCGUCCGCCACUAAGUUAAAAAUCCGUCAUCCCGAAGGAAUCCGUCAAAAUAACUCCGUUCGACUUGCAUGUGUUAGGCACGCCGCCAGCGUUCAUCCUGAGCCAA
rnacentral:rRNA from 1 species